rnacentral:rRNA from 1 species
UCAAUCUCGUGCGGCUAGAAGCCGCCUGUCCCUCUAAGAAGAGUUUAUAUUUGUCGCCGGCAGCACGAAUGCGGAUGCCGUUUGCGCGACUAGUUAGCAGGCCAGAGUCUCGUUCGUUAU